rnacentral:rRNA from 1 species
CCUACGGGUGACAGCAGUCGAGAAUCAUUCACAAUGGGGGAAACCCUGAUGGUGCGACGCCGCGUGGGGGAAUGAAGGUCUUCGGAUUGUAAACCCCUGUCAUGUGGGAGCAAAUUAAAAAGAUAGUACCACAAGAGGAAGAGACGGCUAACUCGGUGCCAGCAGCCGCGGUAAUACAGAGGUCUCAAGCGUUGUUCGGAAUCACUGGGCGUAAGGCGUGCGUAGGCUGUUUCGUAAGUCGUGUGUGAAAGGCGCGGGCUCAACCCGCGGACGGCACAUGAUACUGCGAGACUAGAGUAAUGGAGGGGCAACCGGAAUUCUCGGUGUAGCAGUGAAAUGCGUAGAUAUCGAGAGGAACACUCGUGGCGAAGGCGGGUUCCUGGACAUUAACUGACGCUGAGGCACGAAGGCCAGGGGAGCGAAAGGGAUUAGAUACCCGUGUAGUC